GGCUCAGACAGCCAGGAUGUUGGCUUAGAAGCAGCCAUCAUUUAAAGAAAGCGUAAUAGCUCACUGGUCGAGUCGGCCUGCGCGGAAGAUUUAACGGGGCUAAGCUAUACACCGAAGCUGCGGCAAUGUGAAUUUAUUCACAUUGGGUAGGGGAGCGUUCUGUAAGCCGUUGAAGGUGCAUUGUAAAGUGUGCUGGAGGUAUCAGAAGUGCGAAUGCUGACAUGAGUAACGAUAAAGGGAGUGAAAAACUCCCUCGCCGGAAGAUCAAGGGUUCCUGUCCAACGUUAAUCGGGGCAGGGUAAGUCGACCCCUAAGGCGAGGCCGAAAGGCGUAGUCGAUGGGAAACGGGUUAAUAUUCCCGUACUUCUUAUAAUUGCGAUGGAGGGACGGAGAAGGCUAGGUGAGCCUGGCGACGGUUGUCCAGGUCCAAGUAUGUAGGCUGAUGAAUUAGGCAAAUCCGGUUCAUCUUAAGGCUGAGAUACGAUGUCGAGCUACUACGGUAGUGAAGUCAUUGAUGCCAUGCUUCCGGGAAAAGCUUCUAAGCUUCAGGUUAUAAGAAAUCGUACCCCAAACCGACACAGGUGAUCAGGUAGAGAAUACCAAGGCGCUUGAGAGAACUCGGGUGAAGGAACUAGGCAAAAUGGUACCGUAACUUCGGGAGAAGGUACGCUCCUAGC
rnacentral:rRNA from 1 species